rnacentral:lncRNA from 1 species
ACUACUCCUCAGCACAAUUUAAUAGGUGAUUAGCACAAAUAUGAUUUCAAGAAUUUAGAUUGGGUAUUUGUCAGGGUUUUCUUUUUAUUCUUUCCCAUGUAAUCACUAAGACUUCUUACAUACCAUUCCAAGUACUGGGCAUUGUGGGUAAUAUGGUAUAAAUUGCUAGGAGAGCUGACUCAGAUCUUUUCCUCUACUAAGUUUUGAUAUUAUUUAUUAAGUUUCACAGUUCAGAUGACACUUCUUAUAUGCCUAUCUCUACCAAUAUCUUUUUUUGCUGCUUUGAGCAAAUUUAGUUUUCUAAGCUAAAAUUUCUAACUGAUUUUGCAGAAAACAGAAGAGAGACAGAGAUACAUUGCAGGAGAAAGAGCCAGAGAGGUCAGAGAUUUGCAGAUAUUGUCAUCUGCAAUACACAUUUAUCUAUGAAAAUGGAAAUAGUCACUAACAUAUUUGACGAGUGAUGGAAAUUUUUUAAAAUUUCGCAUUUAUAAUAUGAAAUAAUAGUAAUAUGAAUAUUUUCACAAUUUGAAUAAUAACAAAGAAAAAUUCAGCUCACAGUCAAAAAGAAGACUGAACUGAAACCCAGAAACUCUGUAAUAAUAUACAAAGGAAUAUUUGGACUCUAUUCAAUACUUUGUUCUAUGAAGACUAAUAGGAAUCUUAUUUCUUGCUUCUGUCUUGCAGU